AACAGAACUGACAUCAUGAGUAAGUGGCACGGGUGAGUACACGUGACUAACCUACCUCCGAGUGGGGAAUACUCCGGGACAACGGGGCUAAUACCGCAUAACAUCUCAAGAUCAAAGCAUCAAUGCGCUUGGAGAGGGGGUCGCGGCUGAUAAGCUCGUUGGCGGGGUAACGGCCCACCAAUGCGAAGAUCGGUAUCCGGCCUGAGAGGGCGCACGGACACACUGGAACUGAAACACUGUCCAGACUCCUACGGGAUGCAUCAGUAUGGAAUUUUGCGCAAUGGGGGAAACCCUGAUUCAGCAACGCCGCGUGGAUGAUGAAGCCCUUUGGGGCGUAAACUCCUUUCGACUCGGACGAUAAUGACUGUACGAGUGGAAUAAGCACCGGCUAACUCUGUGCCAUCAUCCGCGGUAA
rnacentral:rRNA from 1 species